rnacentral:rRNA from 1 species
GACGAACGCUGGCGGCGUGCUUAACACAUGCAAGUCGAACGCUGAAGCUCAGCUUUUGUUGGGUGGAUGAGUGGCGAACGGGUGAGUAACACGUGAGUAACCUGCCUCCUUCUUUGGGAUAACGCCCGGAAACGGGUGCUAAUACUGGAUAUUCACUGGUCUUCGCAUGGGGGUUGGUGGAAAGGGUUUUUCUGGUGGGGGAUGGGCUCGCGGCCUAUCAGCUUGUUGGUGGGGUGAUGGCCUACCAAGGCUUUGACAGGUAGCCGGCCUGAGAGGGUGACCGGUCACAAUGGGACUGAGAUACGGCCCAGACUCCUACGGGAGGCAGCAGUGGGGAAUAUUGCACAAUGGGCGCAAGCCUGAUGCAGCGACGCCGCGUGAGGGAUGGAGGCCUUCGGGUUGUGAACCUCUUUCGCUCAUGGUCAAGCCGCAACAAUGGUUGUGGUGAGGGUAGUGGGUAAAGAAGCGCCGGCUAACUACGUG